UUUUUCUUUUGAUUUUUUUUCUCUUUCCCCGUUCUCCCUUUUACAGAUUAAAGAAUGACCUUUUAUAGGUCGAAAGAAAGAAAAUAAACUGAAUACAAAUUGUUGUUUUUUCUUUCGGGACUCUUUGAGUCCAUGUUUUUGCAGGUGUCGCGGAGCAACGUGUGUGGAGAGGAGUCGAUCUUCGAGUCCUGCGGUGACUGGACUCCUGCUAGAGGCGUUGGGUGUGACGUGGGGUUGUUGCGGCGCUCUUUGCUGCUUAGGGCUAGGGUUGAUUCUUUUUUGUUUUUUUUUUCUGGGCUAGGAUUUGUUUUGGGCAUCUUAUUUGUUGGGUUUGAACUAUUUUUGUUUUGUUCGGACCCAAGCCGAUUGGGCCUUAUUAUAGCUGCCCCUCUUUGCUCAUUAUCGUGUGACGGGAAUAGAGCAAAUACCUAAGGCCCAAUUGUGCCUGAGUCUUUGAUUUCUUCAGCGCAAAAAUGGCUUCAAAUAGCUUUAUUC
rnacentral:lncRNA from 1 species